rnacentral:rRNA from 1 species
GAUGAACGCUGGCGGCGUGCCUAAUACAUGCAAGUCGAGCGAACAGACGAGGAGCUUGCUCCUCUGAUGUUAGCGGCGGACGGGUGAGUAACACGUGGAUAACCUACCUAUAAGACUGGGAUAACUUCGGGAAACAGGAGCUAAUACCGGAUAACAUGUUGAACCGCAUGGUUCAACAGUGAAAGACGGUCUUGCUGUCACUUAUAGAUGGAUCCGCGCCGCAUUAGCUAGUUGGUAAGGUAACGGCUUACCAAGGCAACGAUGCGUAGCCGACCUGAGAGGGUGAUCGGCCACACUGGAACUGAGACACGGUCCAGACUCCUACGGGAGGCAGCAGUAGGGAAUCUUCCGCAAUGGGCGAAAGCCUGACGGAGCAACGCCGCGUGAGUGAAGAAGGUCUUCGGAUCGUAAAACUCUGUUAUUAGGGAAGAACAAAUGUGUAAGUAACUAUGCACGUCUUGACGGUACCUAAUCAGAAAGCCACGGCUAACUACGUG